AAUUUUUAUUUAAUAAAUAUUUUAAUUAAUUUAUAAAAAAAUUAAUUUAAAAAAAUAAUUUUAAAAAAAAAAUAUUUUAGUAAAAAAAAAAAUAAUGUAAUAUUUAAUAAUAAUUGAAAAAGUUAAAAAUUAAUUGUUUAAAAAAAAUAUUAAUUUUAUUUACCUUUUGUAUUAGGGUUAAUUAAAAAUAUUUAUUUAAAAUAAUAUCUCGAAUUAAUAAGAUUUAAUUAAUUAAUAAAUUUAAUAUAGAAAAAUUAUUAAAAAUAAUUAAUUAGAAAUGAAAAUUUAAUCGUUUAUUAAGUUAUCUAGUUGAUUAAAAAAUGAAUUUAAUUCAGAUAAAUAUUAUAUUAAAAUUUAUAUAUUAAAAAUAAAAACUUGUAUUUAUUUAAAAUAUUAGGGAUAAACUUAAUAUUUAUUUUAAAAAUUAUUUUUUUUAAAAAAAUAAUUUAAUAAAAAUAAUAAUUUUUAUUUUUAAUAAAAAUGUAAUAAUUUAUUAUUUAAAAUUAUAUUAAUUUUUUUUAAAUUUUUAUUAAUCUAAUUGAUUUAAUUAAAUAAUUUUUUAAAUUAUGAUUAAAUUAGUAUAAUUUAAAUAAUUUAUAAAAAUUAUAAUUUUAAAGAUAAAUUUAAGGAAUUAGGCAAAAUUAAUUUUUUUAAAAUUUUAUAUUCACCUGUUUAACAAAAACAUGUCUUUUAGAUAUUAAUUUAAAGUCAAAUCUGCUCAAUGAAUAAUUUUUUAAAUAGCUGCAGUAUCCUGACUGUACAAAGGUAGCAAAAUCAAUAGUUUUUUAAUUAAAAACUGGAAUGAAAGAUUUAAUGAAAUAUAAACUGUCUCAAAUUUAUUAAAAUUAAAAUUUUUUUUUUAGUAAAAAUACUAAAUUAAAAUUAAAAGACGAGAAGACCCUAUAGAUUUUUAUAGAUUUAAUUAUUCUAAUUAAUUAAUUUUAUUUUUAUUAAAUAAUUAAAUUUAUUUAAUUGGGGCAAUUAUUAAAUUAAAAAAACUUUAAAAAAUUUAAACAUUUAUUAAUGAAAAAUUAAUCUUUUUUAAAAAAUAUAAAUUAAAAUACCUUAGGGAUAACAGCAUAAUUUUUUUGAAUAGAUCAUAUUGAUAAAAAAGAUUAUGACCUCGAUGUUGAAUUAAGAUAAAAUUAAGAAGAAAAAUUUUUAAAUUUUUGGUCUGUUCGACCAUUAAAAUCUUACAUGAUUUGAGUUAAGAUCGGUGUAAGCCAGAUCGGUUUCUAUCUUUAAUAAAUUUAAUAAAUUUGUACGAAAGGACUUUUUAUUAUAAAUAAUUUAAUUUAAAAGAUUAAUUUUAAUUUUUAAAAAAA
rnacentral:rRNA from 1 species